ACGGAAGGCAGCAGUGGGGAAUAUUGCACAAUGGGGGAAACCCUGAUGCAGCGACGCCGCGUGAGUGAAGAAGUAUUUCGGUAUGUAAAGCUCUAUCAGCAGGGAAGAUAAUGACGGUACCUGACUAAGAAGCCCCGGCUAACUACGUGCCAGCAGCCGCGGUAAUACGUAGGGGGCAAGCGUUAUCCGGAUUUACUGGGUGUAAAGGGAGCGUAGGCGGCCAGACAAGUCAGAUGUGAAAGCCCGGGGCUCAACUCCGGUACUGCAUUUGAAACUGCCAGGCUUGAGUGCAGGAGAGGCAAGCGGAAUUCCUAGUGUAGCGGUGAAAUGCGUAGAUAUUAGGAAGAACACCAGUGGCGAAGGCGGCUUGCUGGACUGAGACUGACGCUGAGGCUCGAAAGCGUGGGGAGCAAACAGGAUUAGAUACCCUGGUA
rnacentral:rRNA from 1 species